rnacentral:rRNA from 1 species
CCUACAGGAGGCAGCAGUGGGGAAUAUUGGACAAUGGGGGGAACCCUGAUCCAGCCAUGCCGCGUGUGUGAAGAAGGCCCUCGGGUUGUAAAGCACUUUCAGUGAGGAAGAACGCCUGGUGGUUAAUACCCAUCAGGAAAGACAUCACUCACAGAAGAAGCACCGGCUAACUCCGUGCCAGCAGCCGCGGUAAUACGGAGGGUGCGAGCGUUAAUCGGAAUUACUGGGCGUAAAGCGCGCGUAGGUGGCUUGAUAAGCCGGUUGUGAAAGCCCCGGGCUCAACCUGGGAACGGCAUCCGGAACUGUCAAGCUAGAGUGCAGGAGAGGAAGGUAGAAUUCCCGGUGUAGCGGUGAAAUGCGUAGAGAUCGGGAGGAAUACCAGUGGCGAAGGCGGCCUUCUGGACUGACACUGACACUGAGGUGCGAAAGCGUGGGUAGCAAACAGGAUUAGAUACCCUGGUAGUC